rnacentral:rRNA from 1 species
GAUGAACGCUGGCGGCGUGCUUAACACAUGCCAGUCGAACGGAAAGGAUCCUGCUUGCAUGGGUACUCAAGUGGCGAACGGGUGAGUAACACGUGGGUGAUCUGCCCUGCACUUCGGGAUAAGCCUGGGAAACUGGGUCUAAUACCGGAUAGGACGAUGGUUUGGAUGCCAUUGUGGAAAGUUUUUCGGUGUGGGAUGAGCUCGCGGCCUAUCAGCUUGUUGGUGGGGUAAUGGCCUACCAAGGCGUCGACGGGUGGCCGGCCUGAGAGGGUGUACGGCCACAUUGGGACUGAGAUACGGCCCAGACUCCUACGGGAGGCAGCAGUGGGGAAUAUUGCACAAUGGGCGCAAGCCUGAUGCAGCGACGCCGCGUGGGGGAUGACGGCCUUCGGGUUGUAAACUCCUUUCGCUAGGGACGAAGCGCAAGUGACGGUACCUGGAGAAGAAGCACCGGCUAACUACGUG